rnacentral:rRNA from 1 species
CCGCAAUGGGCGAAAGCCUGACGGAGCAACGCCGCGUGAGGGACGAAGGCCUCUGGGCUGUAAACCUCUUUUAUCAAGGAAGAAGAUCUGCCGGUCCUUGAUGAAUAAGCCACGGCUAAUUCCGUGCCAGCAGCCGCGGUAAUACGGGAGUGGCAAGCGUUAUCCGGAAUUAUUGGGCGUAAAGCGUCCGCAGGCGGCCCUCCAAGUCUGCUGUUAAAAAGUGGAGCUUAACUCCAUCAUGCCAGUGGAAACUGUUGGGCUCGAGUGUGGUAGGGGCAGAGGGAAUUCCCGGUGUAGCGGUGAAAUGCGUAGAUAUCGGGAAGACCACCAGUGGCGAAGGCGCUCUGCUGGGCCAUCACUGACGCUCAUGGACGAAAGCCAGGGGAGCGAAAGGGAUUAGAUACCCCUGUAGUCCUGCCCGUAACCGAUGAACACUAGGUGUCGGGGGAAUCGACCCCUCCGGUGUCGUAGCCAACGCAACAAUGUU